CGUAACUUCACUCCAUCAACACCAGAACGAGUCCAUUAUGAUCUUAUCUUGGACAAAGGACAUUGCAUAUUAUCUUAAAGCUAAGUUCUGUUCUUCAAUAGGGGUUGGGAAUGCUGGACUGGCAAACAGAACUGACUGCAAAUUGCGCUGAAGUUUUGAAGUGACAGCAAAAACAAUUUUGAAAGCCUUCUUCAAUCUUUUUCUUUUUUAAAAUUGCUUCUCUCAAGCUCUAGUAGGGAUUUCCUGCAUGACAGGGAUCUUAAAUGCUGCCUGCAACCAAUACCAUCACAGUCCCUGGCGUGAUUAUUACAGUAGUAUGACAUAGUGGACUUACCUAUCACACCUCUCACUUCAGGAACUCAAACUUCUUACAGAGUAAUGCCUCAAAAUACCCCUAUGAAGCAGGCCCUUUACUCCUUCUCUAUACAAAGGAGCCAAAGAGAAUAGACCUUGGACAAAGUCAGAGACAGGAAAAUAAUUCAUAUGAGAGGAGACCACCUGCAUAAAAGGACUUCUAACUGCCCUUCCAAUGGAUCUGAAUUACUCUGUAGAAAUACAAAGGUUAUUUUGAUCUGGUGCCAACACAUUUCCACAUGACAUAAGCUGACUGCCCAAAGCAAGCAUUUCCAAAGCUGAAUUCAUUCAGUGAUGAACCUGCCACCUGUGUUUCUGUCAAAGCUGCAUCCAGGAGUAGAUUGGUCAGAGGCUUUUGCGGCUAGUGCCCAAAAGCUUAAAUCUGCUUCCAAACAAAAUCAACAGCAUAAUCCUCACUCUCUUCACUGGGAGCAGCAUCUACAGCCAGAUUUCUAAUGAACAUUGUAGAAAAUAACAGAAUUUGUUGAGGACAGUACUCCAGCACCGGGCAGCUGUUUUAUUCAGUACUCAGAAACAUAACCUGUUGUGGGGCCAACAUAUGUUAUACGAUGUAUUUGACUGCAUUUCCAAUGAUGUACCCUUGUAGACCUGAAAUUAUUUCUACUUGAAAUAGCUUUUAAUGAAGACAAGAGAAAUCCUUUGCAUGGCACAUUUAUAAAGUCACUUCAACAAAAAACAGGUUGUUGGAAGAUUAACAGAUAGGAAACUCUUAGCUGAGCCUAUAAACAGAGGAUAAAACAGUAGAGUUAGUACUGGCAGAAAAGUUAUUUAAACCUUGCAGCCGGAAAUCCCAAGUACUCUGUGAACUUUAUAGCUACCAACCCCGUCUUCGCACAAAAAGCAGAACCCUGCAAAGAGCCAUAAGCCAAAGAAGAAUGCUUUUAUAAACAGAAAGAAAGGAGCCCAUGUUUGGGCUGAAAAGUAAGUAGGAAAGAUUACUAGCAGCUGAACUAAAUUAGUCUUAUACAGUUUAAUGACCAAGAGAAAACUACUAGUAUUUUAUGCUCUUAAAAAUGGCAGCAUCCAUUCUUUGGACAGGCUAGUUUUCCCUGAUCUAGAGCUGUUCCAAUUUAUUAAGGCUAGACUUAACAUCUGCAAUUCUAACAAGUUUAUAUGAAGCCUGUAUUAUCAUUAGAACCAUCUGCACCACACUCAGUGAAAGUUCCUGUAAGCACCACAUACUUUUGUUUAGGGGGGUAGGGGAGAAUGGAAAUACUGAAUCCUUCAGAAGUGUGACCCCUAUGAAAGUAUCCCCUUUCCUAUGAAUUACCUGGCCUGAGAAUGGAUUCAAACUAUCUGAUACAGAUGCUUUUCACAAAGGUGUUUUAGAAGAAUCUACUAAUUGGGAGUGUAGAUUAUGGAGCUAGCAGGAGACCCAAGAGAAUAUGAUCCCAGUAUAGUAGAAAGAGAAGAUUCCAAAUUCAGGACCUUCUUGUCCAACAGUGGACUAACAGGGAGAUUCUCUUUUCCUUGUUAAGAAUUAAGCCAGAAAAGUUCUCUGAUGGCCGAGUGACUGUAUCAACUGUUUCCAUAUGACCCAGUUGCAUAACAAGGAAAGGGGUUGGUGAGCAUGGCACCAGGCCCCUGCACCAACUUACAGGGGAUGUCAAAAUGGCAGCCCCAGGGGAGUCAAUGCCAUGGCACAAGCAGCAGCCCUACACCACUCCUGUAUCGGCAGCAGCCAUAUACAAGGCACUGCACUGCACUGCUUCUGCUACCACCCCUUGAUAGCCAGUCAUCUGGCCUCCAGGGCUCCCCACAGGUUGAGAAAUUUGGCAGUGGGGGAGUGAUAGAAGCAUUAAUUGCCACUCCCUUGCUGCCAAAUUUCUGGACCUGUGGGGAGCUGUAUGGGCUGGAUGUGACCCUGUGAGUUAGAUUGCACUGGUGUGUGGGGUUGUUCAGCAGCUGGAUCUAGGUGUGCACGGUCAGGCUGCUGUGCGUCCAGACUCAGGGCAGGGUCACACCCGCAGACCAACCCUGCAUGGGAUCAGACCCACGAAUCGACCCUGCACCACUCAUCUGGCCUGUGCUGGUAGGUUGGGUACCACUGCCAUUAACCAUUCAGCUGCUGAGCAAGAGGGGGCUAAUAUCAUCAUCGCUCUGAACAUCAAACAGUUGUUGCACAUGAAUUUUCUUUGAUUCAAGAGCUUACAUGGAAUUGGAUUACAACUGAGCAGCUGAGGUCUAAGUAGAGUUAGGUGCUCAAGUGACUGCGCUGGACUGUUUCUGAGAACACAGGGAAGUCCAUGUCUGUCACCUAUACUUCUCUUCAAGCGACAACUGAUGCACUUAAGGUAUCUGGGUGCCUCAGCAGAAUUGUGGCUGUUGCUCAGGAUGGCAUGCAAUUUAAGUGCCACUUGAGAUGCACAACAGGAUCUGGGCCUUGCAGUCUAUACAGCAGAAGCCAAUUUACAAACAGCCUUUGAGCAGGGAACCAUAACAACAGCCAGAAUCUCAAAACCAUCAUCACACUUCUACCCCUCUGUAAUCAUGUCUACAUGAUUACAAGCACCUCAGCAACAGGUCAAUACAUAGCAGAAGCAUAUAGUUCAAUCUGGCCUUUCUACAUUAGAAGCCACAGGUAAAAGGAGCAAGGAAUAAAGUACCAGGGGUUUUCAAGUACAAUAGCUGCUCCUGGCUGGGCAAAGUGACCAUGGAGAAAAGAAUUCUGAAAUCUCCCUGAAGUUACCAGAGGAGUCCUUCCAGACAAGUGAGUUGGAUCAGAUUCACACAGGAAACCUCCCGGCACAGCCAGUUCACCUGGAGAAUCACCAUUUCCUGGUUCUUAUUAUACAUCUGUUCUCCCCUUCAUAAUCCCCUAGGUAUUCAUGUAUGGAGUAUGGCAGCCUAGGCACAUGCCACAGCCAGGGAGGAGGGAACAUAGUGAGAGCAAAGGCUCAGUCUGUCUCUCCUCCCUGCCCUUCCCCCCUCCCAAACUCUAUAAACUUCUAUCUAGCAGACAGGGGGCAGGAUGCAGCCUCUGCCUGCAUAACCUCUUUACAGCUCUGCCAGCAAGGGGCUCCAACCUCCUCUUCUGUCCAUAUGCUGCAGUAACUGAAAAAGGCAAGACCAAGAGUCCAAAAACAACAUUUAAAAUUAUGGAAAAUGGCACAAAUAGCUUUGAAGGAUAGACUGACAGGAAUGAGUGCAAAGCAGACUUCUGAAUGGCCCAUCUCUGCCAGGGACAGGAAACUGGAACCUUGGGGAGAGAGUCAAUGGAAUCAGUGAGAACAGAAGAUGCCAAAAAUUCCUGCUGCUGAUAGCCGAUUUCUGCCUGAGGAAGGAGAACCAUCCAUCUGCAAUGGAGACAAAAUUGUGCAAAGAUGAAACAGUCCUUCACUACAGAAUGCAUGGUGGCUCUGUCACCACCUUGCAACUAGCCAAACCACAGGGGUCAUAGAUUAUAAGCAUAAUGCAAUCUGCUGCUUGGAUGUCAGAUCUUGAGGAAAUGGUUCAGAAAAACUUGGACAACUCAGGUGCUCCUACAGGAUAUUUAGGUGCUGGAUGCUAGAAAAUUGCUUCUUUGGCUACCUUUUAUUCUACAUUAUUUUUAAACAGUGGAUGUUAACAUCAGUGCCCCAGUUACAUCUGUAACUGCAGCUGGAAAGUGUAAUUUUUGUUACUGAACAAGAGCUGUGAUGUAUGAAUUACCAAAAGAGGUGCUGUUACCUGCAAUGCAAAAGGGAAUGCUAUUUGGAGCAAGUAGGGUAGAAACAAACCUAAUCAUUCUCUUAACACAUACACAGCCUGAGUUUCAACUGUCACACAUCUUGCACAGCCACUUGAGUUCAUUUCUGCAAAAGGCCAAUUUUCAUAGAGAUGUAAUUAUAAAUGCAUUGCAAAUCUAUUUGCAGAAAUACCUUCCAUGCACUCUAACCCUCAGUCCUUUUGAGAGAAAUAAGAGCAAAUACCAAAUAUUUCUGAUGAAAUUAAAGUCAUAAGUUACAAAGGACAAGUUUCAGAAGCAACAUUUUUUUAGGUAAAUGCUCAAUUCACAUUUUGUUGCCAAAAAAAGCUUCUGGGCUUCAAUAUCACUCUAAGUUUAGAACAGAACAAUUAUAUUAUGGCCCACUUUAAAUCUCAGCACACAGUGGUUUAUAAUGACAAUACUGAAAAUAAAUCACUGUUUUAAAACUUUCCCAACACACCACAGAUUAGAUCCAGAAGGGUAGACAAAUUUGUCACUGAAAAUUUGAGCUGUUCCUGCUGGAACUCAAGGCUGUAACACAGAGAGUGAAACGAGUCAAUGGACUAAAGAAGAUACACAAUGAUUGUGCCUGCCUAGAUAUUACUGGUUUUAUGGAGCUCCCAACUAUAGCCAGAUUACUGUAGGACCACAACAGCCUGCAGUAAAUUAAGAAGUGGGGUCUUUAUCCAGCAGGAAUGAGCUGAUAUAUUCACCAACGCCCUACUGAAGUAUAUUUGACCACCAAAAACAAAAAAGCCAUUAACAUCCUGUAUUAAUAGGCUUUGUGGUUUUUAAGCAAGAUAUUUUCAUGAUGGACACAAUGUGAAUUCAGCAAAGUUUUCCCUUUAAGAAAUACAGCAUCAAUUUCAAAGAGCUGAUUAAAUUUAAUACCAUUAGAGAACCAUUACUGAAUUUUUUGGGGGUUGUUGUUACUGUUUUAACUAUCACAGUUAGUUUCUGAACCAAAAAUUACAGACAGUUGGCUUGACCAAGAGUCAAGGUUUAGGAAUGUGAGAGCAAAUCCAAGGUAUAGAUGAGCUUCAGAUGUGGACAGGCUUCAUGGGGCUUAAUAGCCUCGCCAAGUCUUGUCAGGUCAUAGAGGAUUUUUUCUUCUUAAAUAUAGCUGGCCAGGAUAUGGCAGGAAGAA